UACGUAGGGGGCAAGCGUUGUCCGGAUUUAUUGGGCGUAAAGAGCGUGUAGGCGCCAGACAGGUCCGUUGUGAAAACUCGAGGCUCAACCUCGAGACGCCGAUGGAAACCGUCUGGCUAGAGUCCGGAAGAGGAGAGUGGAAUUCCUGGUGUAGCGGUGAAAUGCGCAGAUAUCAGGAGGAACACCGAUGCGAAGGCAGGUCUCUGGGCCACUACUGACGCUGAGAAGCGAAAGCAUGGGGGAGCGAACAGGG
rnacentral:rRNA from 1 species